AAAGUACUCCCUCCGUCCCAAAAUUCUUGUCUUAGAUUUGUCUAGAUACGGAUGUAUCAAGUCACAUUCUAGUAUUAGACAAAUCUAAGACAAGAAAUUUGGGAUAGAGGGAGUAGUUG
rfam:Triticum aestivum genome assembly, contig: Triticum_aestivum_CS42_TGACv1_scaffold_626028_7DS